AGUGAACGCUGGCGGUAGGCCUAACACAUGCAAGUCGAACGGCAGCACAGUAAGAGCUUGCUCUUACGGGUGGCGAGUGGCGGACGGGUGAGUAAUACAUCGGAAUCUACUUUUUCGUGGGGGAUAACGUAGGGAAACUUACGCUAAUACCGCAUACGACCUACGGGUGAAAGCAGGGGAUCUUCGGACCUUGCGCGAGUGAAUGAGCCGAUGUCGGAUUAGCUAGUUGGCGGGGUAAAGGCCCACCAAGGCGACGAUCCGUAGCUGGUCUGAGAGGAUGAUCAGCCACACUGGAACUGAGACACGGUCCAGACUCCUACGGGAGGCAGCAGUGGGGAAUAUUGGACAAGGGGCGCAAGCCUGAUCCAGCCAUACCGCGUGGGUGAAGAAGGCCUUCGGGUUGUAAAGCCCUUUUGUUGGGAAAGAAAAGCAGCAGGUUAAUACCCCGCUGUUCUGACGGUACCCAAAGAAUAAGCACCGGCUAACUUCGUG
rnacentral:rRNA from 1 species